CUCUAUUUUGCAGUUUUUUUGCAGUGGGGUUGGAGAUGCUCUUAGCUCGUAACAAUGCUCAAGUGAAAAGUGAAAGACUUUAUAAAGCAGGAGCUGGAGUUGUUGCAGAUAGCAUAUAACAGCAAGAGUCAUCGACGUUCAUCACGGGCAGCUUGUAAACUCUUCUGAGAGAUUGAUGCAGAUCAAGCACGUUCACAUUCUUAAUUCUUUCUUUUUGGCCAAUCAAAGGAAGGAAGUACAAUCCAAUUAUGUACAUUAUUUUCUUGUAUUAGCUUGGUGUUGAUACCACUCUUUAUAGAUGUUAUAGAUAAAGGGCUCUAUAGAUUUUUGUUUCCCAUUUCAAAAUUACAGAUUCAUUUCGAGCUUUAUAGAAAGAUUCUAUUCAUUUUGUUUUAUUCUUUUUUUUCAAAAUCGUUGUACAAGAACUUACAUGCGUGGUUCAAAUAGCCAUUUAAUACUUAGCUACAUUUCCAUUUGGGUCUAGAAUCCCACCAAAUU